AUUGAACGCUGGCGGCAGGCCUAACACAUGCAAGUCGAACGAGUGGCGGACGGGUGAGUCAUGUCUGGGAACCUGCCCGAUGGAGGGGGAUAACUACUGGAAACGGUAGCUAAUACCGCAUACCAGCGGAUGUGCCCAGAUGGCAUUAGCUAGUAGGUGGGGUAACGGCUUACCUAGGCGACGAUCCCUAGCUGGUCUGAGAGGAUGACCAGCCACACUGGAACUGAGACACGGUCCAGACUCCUACGGGAGGCAGCAGUGGGGAAUAUUCCGCAAUGGGCGCAAGCCUGACGCAGCCAUGCCGCGUGUAUGAAGAAGGCCUUCGGGUUGUAAAGUACUGUUAGUGAGGAGGCGUUACCCGCAGAAGAAGCACCGGCUAACUCCGUGCCAGCAGCCGCGGUAAUUC
rnacentral:rRNA from 1 species